rnacentral:lncRNA from 1 species
AACCAACCCAGAAGGCACCAGCAGAGCCGGCCCCAAGGUAUACUUCUUCUUAUCAUACAUUCAACCAGUUUUUUUGAAUAUUAAGCAAAAGUUCAUAAGACUCAUUAUAUAAUGUGUCAAUGUCCUUCUCCACUGGGCAAGAGAGGGAAAUGGUUCUCUCAGAAAGGAUUUUCAUUUGAAUCAAACAAAAUGGCAUUUAUCCAGAGGCCAUUGUCUCAUAAGUUGAACCAUCUGACACACUGCCAAGAAACCAGAAUUUUCACUACCUAAAAAUUCAUCUUACAUAGUACAUGCGCUGAACUUCAUGAGAUGAGUCAAGGACUGGAGCCUUGCACCCUGGUUCAGAGCUCAUUUACCCAUGUCCUAGAUAUUGCUCUACUUAGUCUUAAGCGUCAUUGGUUUGGAAGAUGAGAAGAGGACAUGGAGAAGAGAGAAGGCUGAAGAAAACAGAGGACUCUGUCCAGGAAUAUUGGCUGAAGCUGGAAGCUGACCAUGAGACAUUCUGAGCACCCCUACAUUCGAGGGAGAGCUCCUCAUACAGGAGACCGUGAGGUGUCGUGGUCUGGUGGUGACGGAUAGCACUGGCUGUGGCCAGGCUGAAUCAGCUGAACCGUGGCCGGGCAGAGUCUUUUGGAAAGAGUCCCCGUCAGGGGCAGGAGGUGGCUGCGGGAAGUAGGAUCUGCAGGUGACUGCAGCUGCCAGCAGCAGAGGCCAAGGCAGGUGGCUGAGGCCAGGGCCCUGGGCUGUGGGGGCCCUUGGAGGCUGAGUGUGGAUGGCAGAGGCAGUGGGAGGCAUGUCCCUAAGCUGAUUCACAGAUGGACGGUAAACAUCAGACACCUGGAGACCAGAGAAACAAGGCCAUGUGGCUCAUGGAGGUCGCAGUUUCUUAGAAGAGCCGGGACAUCCGUCUGACAGAUACUGGUAAGGCGCUUGCUUAAAUGAGGCCACAGCCCAUGUUGGGAAGGAACGGGACCACGCUGAGCGGCCAAGAGACUUCAGUGUGUAAUUCUCAACCCUGACCACACGUCAGAACCACUGCGGAGCGUUAAUAUGUCUGGUUCUGUGUCAG